rnacentral:RNase_P_RNA from 1 species
AAGCAAGGGGACUCUGCCGCUGCUUUCGACGCCUCUGGGCGAAUCGAGAGGGGAGGAAAGUCCGGGCAACACAGGGCACCGCACUGGUGAAACUGCCAGACGGGCGAGAGCUCGUGUAACCGUAACAGAAAACGACCGCCUCGACCGGUCAAACGGUCGGGGUAAGGGUGAAAAGGCGGGGUAAGAGCCCACCGGUACCGGCGGUAACGUCGGUAGCCGUACGGCCUGCGGGUUGCAAGACCAUGUACACCGAUGUCGAGACACAUCUUUCGGGGUGUGUUUCCGAAGGACGGCCCGUCCGAGUCGGGGGGUAGGUUGCUGACGAUCCGGCGGGAGACCGUCGGGCUGGAUAAAUGGCAGAGGCUUUUCAUCCGGGUAAGCGCACUCGCGCAGUGCCGCCGGAAAAAGUACAGAACCCGGCUUAUACCCCUUGCUUUUUC